rnacentral:rRNA from 1 species
UACAGAGGGUGCAAGCGUUGUUCGGAAUUAUUGGGCGUAAAGCGCGUGUAGGCGGCAUGGCAAGUCGGGUGUGAAAGCCCUCAGCCUAACUGAGGAAGUGCGCCCGAAACUGCCGUGCUUGAGUGCCGGAGAGGGUGGCGGAAUUCCCCAAGUAGAGGUGAAAUUCGUAGAUAUGGGGAGGAACACCGGUGGCGAAGGCGGCCACCUGGACGGUAACUGACGCUGAGACGCGAAAGCGUGGGGAGCAAACAGG